AUCGCUUCUCGGCCUUUUGGCUAAGAUCAAGUGUAGUAUCUGUUCUUAUCAGUUUAAUACCUGAUACGUCCUCCAUUCGAGGACUUUAUAUUAAACGGAUUUUAUUAGAGCGAGGAGCUGGAAGAGGGGCUUGCUCCGUCCGCUCCACGCAUCGACCUGGUAUUGCAGUACCUCCAGGAACGGUGCACCUUUU